rnacentral:rRNA from 1 species
UACGUAGGGUGCAAGCGUUGUCCGGAAUUAUUGGGCGUAAAGAGCUCGUAGGCGGUUCGUCGCGUCGGCUGUGAAAACCUGAGGCUCAACCUCAGGCCUGCAGUCGAUACGGGCGGACUUGAGUACUGCAGGGGAGACUGGAAUUCCUGGUGUAGCGGUGAAAUGCGCAGAUAUCAGGAGGAACACCGGUGGCGAAGGCGG